UACAGAGGGUGCGAGCGUUAAUCGGAAUUACUGGGCGUAAAGCGUGCGUAGACGGUUAUCUAAGUCGGGUGUGAAAGCCCCGGGCUCAACCUGGGAAUUGCAUUCGAUACUGGAUAGCUAGAGUUCGGCAGAGGGAAGCGGAAUUUCCGGUGUAGCGGUGAAAUGCGUAGAUAUCGGGAAGAACACCAGUGGCGAAGGCGGCUAACUGGUCCAGAUCUGACGCUGAGGUGCGAAAGCGUGGGGAGCAAAGCAGG
rnacentral:rRNA from 1 species